rnacentral:misc_RNA from 1 species
UUGAAAAAGAAUUGUUUCUAGCUAGCAGAGUAGCUUCAUGACAAGCAAUAGGAUGACCUGCAUUAUUUCGAGCAAUGGCAAUAAUAACUCUGAAACCCCUUUCUUGAUUGCUUACAAUAUUAAAGUUUAUUUUUAUUCAAAGAGAUACAAGAGAAGUCCAAGAAUUUUGACACUAGAUAGAUGUAUUCUGAGGAGGAGGUGAUAUAAGUUGAGCUAUUCGAAAUUCUUCCAAAGAAUUGGAAGCUUUUAUGAUUACAUCUUGAAAAACUAAACUAUAUUUUCAAACACCAAGGCAUUUCUACAUUUUCAAAUAUACCACAAAAUAUAUGCAAUUGUGGCAGAG